rnacentral:rRNA from 1 species
UCCAGACUCCUACGGGAGGCAGCAGUGGGGGAUAUUGCACAAUGGGGGGAACCCUGAUGCAGCGACGCCGCGUGGGUGAAGGAGCGUUUCGGCGCGUAAAGCCCUAUCGGCAGGGAAGAAGGAGGACGGUACCUGACUAAGAAGCCCCGGCUAACUACGUGCCAGCAGCCGCGGUAAUACGUAGGGGGCAAGCGUUAUCCGGAUUUACUGGGUGUAAAGGGGGCGCAGACGGCGAUGCAAGCCAGGAGUGAAAGCCCGGGGCCCAACCCCGGGACUGCUCUUGGAACUGCAUGGCUGGAGUGCGGGAGGGGCAGGCGGAAUUCCUGGUGUAGCGGUGAAAUGCGUAGAUAUCAGGGGGAACACCGGCGGCGAAGGCGGCCUGCUGGACUGUAACUGACGUUGAGGCUCGAAAGCGUGGGGAGCAAACAGGAUUAGAUACCCCAGUAAA